rnacentral:rRNA from 1 species
AUUGAACGCUGGCGGCAGGCCUAACACAUGCAAGUCGAGCGGAUGAAGGGAGCUUGCUCCUGGAUUCAGCGGCGGACGGGUGAGUAAUGCCUAGGAAUCUGCCUGGUAGUGGGGGAUAACGUCCGGAAACGGGCGCUAAUACCGCAUACGUCCUGAGGGAGAAAGUGGGGGAUCUUCGGACCUCACGCUAUCAGAUGAGCCUAGGUCGGAUUAGCUAGUUGGUGGGGUAAAGGCCUACCAAGGCGACGAUCCGUAACUGGUCUGAGAGGAUGAUCAGUCACACUGGAACUGAGACACGGUCCAGACUCCUACGGGAGGCAGCAGUGGGGAAUAUCGGACAAUGGGCGAAAGCCUGAUCCAGCCAUGCCGCGUGUGUGAAGAAGGUCUCCGGAUUGUAAAGCACUUUAAGUUGGGAGGAAGGGCAGUAAGUUAAUACCUUGCUGUUUUGACGUUACCAACAGAAUAAGCACCGGCUAACUUCGUG